CCGGCGAUUUCCGAAUGGGGAAACCCAGUGUGUUUCGACACACUAUCAUUAACUGAAUCCAUAGGUUAAUGAGGCGAACCGGGGGAACUGAAACAUCUAAGUACCCCGAGGAAAAGAAAUCAACCGAGAUUCCCCCAGUAGCGGCGAGCGAACGGGGAGCAGCCCAGAGCCUGAAUCAGUGUGUGUGUUAGUGGAAGCGUCUGGAAAGGCGCGCGAUACAGGGUGACAGCCCCGUACACAAAAAUGCACAUGCUGUGAGCUCGAUGAGUAGGGCGGGACACGUGGUAUCCUGUCUGAAUAUGGGGGGACCAUCCUCCAAGGCUAAAUACUCCUGACUGACCGAUAGUGAACCAGUACCGUGAGGGAAAGGCGAAAAGAACCCCGGCGAGGGGAGUGAAAAAGAACCUGAAACCGUGUACGUACAAGCAGUGGGAGCCUCUUUAUGGGGUGACUGCGUACCUUUUGUAUAAUGGGUCAGCGACUUAUAUUCUGUAGCAAGGUUAACCGAAUAGGGGAGCCGAAGGGAAACCGAGUCUUAACUGGGCGUUAAGUUGCAGGGUAUAGACCCGAAACCCGGUGAUCUAGCCAUGGGCAGGUUGAAGGUUGGGUAACACUAACUGGAGGACCGAACCGACUAAUGUUGAAAAAUUAGCGGAUGACUUGUGGCUGGGGGUGAAAGGCCAAUCAAACCGGGAGAUAGCUGGUUCUCCCCGAAAGCUAUUUAGGUAGCGCCUCGUGAAUUCAUCUCCGGGGGUAGAGCACUGUUUCGGCAAGGGGGUCAUCCCGACUUACCAACCCGAUGCAAACUGCGAAUACCGGAGAAUGUUAUCACGGGAGACACACGGCGGGUGCU
rnacentral:rRNA from 1 species